rnacentral:rRNA from 1 species
CAGUCGAACGGGGAUUAUACGCUGAUGCGAUUUCGGUCAAAUCUUGUAUGAUCCCAGUGGCGGACGGGUGAGUAACGCGUGGGUAACCUGCCUUACACAGGGGGAUAACACCUGGAAACAGGUGCUAAUACCGCAUAAGCGCACAGGGCCGCAUGGCCCGGUGUGAAAAACUCCGGUGGUGUAAGAUGGACCCGCGUCUGAUUAGCUUGUUGGCGGGGUAGAGGCCCACCAAGGCGACGAUCAGUAGCCGGCCUGAGAGGGUGGACGGCCACAUUGGGACUGAGACACGGCCCAAACUCCUACGGGAGGCAGCAGUGGGGGAUAUUGGACAAUGGGGGAAACCCUGAUCCAGCGACGCCGCGUGAGUGAAGAAGUAUUUCGGUAUGUAAAGCUCUGUCAGCAGGGAAGAAAGAAAUGACGGUACCUGACCAAGAAGCCCCGGCUAACUACGUGCCAGCAGCCGCGGUAAUACGUAGGGGGCAAGCGUUAUCCGGAAUUACUGGGUGUAAAGGGAGCGUAGACGGUGAUGCAAGUCUGGAGUGAAAGGCGGGGGCCCAACCCCCGGACUGCUCUGGAAACUGUAUGACUUGAGUGCAGGAGAGGUAAGCGGAAUUCCUAGUGUAGCGGUGAAAUGCGUAGAUAUUAGGAGGAACACCAGUGGCGAAGGCGGCUUACUGGACUGUAACUGACGUUGAGGCUCGAAAGCG